CCCUUAUCAAGAGUGGUCGAGGGUGAAGGCCCAAAGACGCCACGGCAACGGUUCGAAAAACUCGAGAUACGUGCCAAAGCCUGUUUCAAUAAAAUGUUGAAACACGAUAAGAG
rnacentral:ncRNA from 1 species